rnacentral:rRNA from 1 species
CCUACGGGAGGCAGCAGUGAGGAAUAUUGGACAAUGGGCGCAAGCCUGAUCCAGCCAUGCCGCGUGCAGGAAGAAGCAUCUAUGGUGUGUAAACUGCUUUUGUACGGGAAGAAACACUGCUACGUGUAGCAGCUUGACGGUACCGUAAGAAUAAGGAUCGGCUAACUCCGUGCCAGCAGCCGCGGUAAUACGGAGGAUCCAAGCGUUAUCCGGAAUCAUUGGGUUUAAAGGGUCCGUAGGCGGUUUGGUAAGUCAGUGGUGAAAGCCCAUCGCUUAACGAUGGAACGGCCAUUGAUACUGCCAGACUUGAAUUACUAGGAAGUAACUAGAAUAUGUAGUGUAGCGGUGAAAUGCUUAGAUAUUACAUGGAAUACCAAUUGCGAAGGCAGGUUACUACUAGUUUAUUGACGCUGAUGGACGAAAGCGUGGGGAGCGAACAGGAUUAGAUACCCUGGUAGUCCACGCCGUAAACGAUGGAUACUAGCUGUUCGGGGUAACCUGAGUGGCUAAGCGAAAGUGAUAAGUAUCCCACCUGGGGAGUACGUUCGCAAGAAUUGAAACUUCAAAGUAGUUAGUUGGCGNGNGAGAGCGACGACGACGACGACGGAGGGAGGAGG